ACAUGCCCACACCUGUGGCUUCUGAAGCAGAGCACCAGCAGUGACAGUCCCACCAGAACCGCAUGGAAUAGAAAACUGUGCAUUUCCCUAAGGAAAGGGAAUGCCAGAGAAGGGCAGAAGGGAAAUCAGGAAGACAAAACGUGUCUUCAUGUUGGAGUGGACCUUUCCUCUAUCUGUCAACAGAAUGGAUAAAUUGUGGAAGAGUAAUAUCAGAAUACUACACAUCAGUAAAAAACAACAAACUUCUGCUACAAACAAUCAACAUCGAUGAAUCUUUCAGGCAAAAGGGCAAAGAAAAGUAUUGGUCUUCCAAAACAAAUAGAGGACGGAGCUGCUGCUGUUGCAUGGUGUCUAGAAACUCAGACAACUUCAUCAUUCCAUAUUUGCAUCCAAGAGAGAGAAAGAAAAACUACAAUCAUUUUCCAUUUACCCAUCAACCCAUCAACCUCCAAAUAAAGGCUAUUAAAAAACAAUCAAAGUGUGAAGAGGGCAGAAAAUGUGAUGAAGAGAUUCUUUGGAGAAAGUAGCUGC
rnacentral:lncRNA from 1 species